UACCAGCAGCAGGGCUUGUUGAAUACUGCUGAAUCAGGAGAUGAGCUGACCUACCAUGUAUUUUGAGGACAUUCCCAGGACACUACAUUGCCUCCAGCAAAUAAAAGAGCUUUUACAGCUCCUCUGGGAGACAGUGGCUUGGGAGAGGAGACCCCUGGCCUGCUGCCAAGCAACCCCUGGCAAAGCGCACCCAAUGAGAUCAUGAGGGCUAAUUCGGCAGAAUGAGGAACUAUUUCGACUGCCCGUCUCGCUGCAGGCUCAAAGCACACUCUGAGAAAGUUUUAUUCAAGAACGGGUUUUAUUUGCAACAACGCAACGCCCGCUGUUCGCAGACGGGGAGCAACAUGGCGGCGGCUCGCAGGGCCCGCUGGGAGCUGUAGUCCUGCGGAGGGCUGGGGCCGCUCCCUCGCCCCGCAGGGAAGGGGGGGUCAGGGUCCUCCUCAGCGUCUCCCAAAGAGGAGGAUUUCCUGCCUCGUCCCUUUCUGCACAGCGCUCUGGGGAACACCGAGGCUCAGGCUGUCCGGAUAAGAGGGGUGCCAGCGUCGGCAGGCGGGCCAGUGCCUGCCCACCGUUCUGUGCAGAGCUUUUCCUGACCCCGUGCGUCAGGAAAAACAAACAACUGGUGUAACCCCAGUUUUACCCCCGUUUGCUGUUACCAGGCAUCUAGUUAUACACUUGCAGCCCAAAAAGAAAGGUGACAGCACUCUAAAGACAUACCCAGUUACUCUGGCAAGAUGUAAUAUGCAUAGCUGGGUUGGUUGCCGUUGUUUGCCCCCUCCCUGAUUUCCAUUAUUUUGCCUGGGAUCGGUGUUAGGGUGGCAGGUGUGUAUUUACCUGGGUCACCUGAGCUGGCCCCGUGCUCAGCCCGCACACGCUGGAGGGGAAAGCACGUCAGCUGAGGGCAGCAGAGACAAGUGGUGCUUCUAAGAUCUCCAGUGUUAUUAUACUUAUAAAUCCUGGUGAAACUUCAACUUACACUUGAGAGAGACGGACAAGGCGAGCAGAAACUUUUCAGCAUUCUGAGGGUAUUUUGGCUUUAAGAGGCUCUCAUCACAUUGCCCAGAUUGGAAUCCCUUAAAACUGUAUAACUUGGUUCCUAAACUUUUAUUCAACAGCCAUCUUCUGAAUGUUCUCUUGUAUGUUUUGUUUGUUAGGAAACAAAAUUAUUUGUUUUGGCGUUGAUCAAGGCAAGAUGAUACAUUAUUUCUGGCAGAGUGAUAUUCUUCUUUUUUGCCCACUCAUUUUUCACAAGUAGUUUUAGUAUUAGGAUCAUGGAAAUUUUCCCAUUAAUGUUAUAGGACACUCAGAGGAAACAGGACAUCUACAGUGAGCGGAGGAGGAGGCAGUUAAAAUCCAAGCACAGCUCAUGAGAAAGAAACAAUAAUUGUUCAAAGAAUAUUGUACUGCAUAACAAUCUUGCUGGAUUGCAGCACAGAGAACACAACUUCCGUGUGUGUGGUUGCACAUUUAAUGAAGCAAUAACCCAGUUGUUCUCUUUCUGAAGUUAAUAAAAAAAUAGCUUGAAAACCAA